rnacentral:rRNA from 1 species
GAUCAUGGCUCAGGAUGAACGCUAGCUACAGGCUUAACACAUGCAAGUCGAGGGGCAGCAUGGUCUUAGCUUGCUAAGACUGAUGGCGACCGGCGCACGGGUGAGUAACACGUAUCCAACCUGCCGUCUACUCUUGGACAGCCUUCUGAAAGGAAGAUUAAUACAAGAUGGCAUCAUGAGUCCGCAUGUUCACAUGNUUAAAGGUAUUCCGUGGACGA